UCCACUCCGAUGGCGUCAAUAUCCACGCCAC
rnacentral:sRNA from 1 species